rnacentral:rRNA from 1 species
AUGACAGCAAUAGAAAUGAAACCCCUCUUGCCUCCCUCUUCCUCCCGGCCGGCAAAAACUUCAGACACCGCCUCUAUUUACACACCAUCAACAGGGCGGUCUUUCGCUCUUUGGCCGGGUAGAAGAAGAGCAGGGGGAUGGACGCCUGAUGCACAGGCAGUAACUUGUAAAACUAACAUGGUGACGUCCUUCGUGAGUGCCAUGCACUGCAACGAAUGGUCUUGUCUACUGUGCUGCCCUCGGUCAGGCGGAGGACAACGACAAGCGGCUGGACCACGCCGUCGGCGGUGA